CAGGGAUUACCUCAGUAACGGCGAGUGAAGCGGUAAAAGCUCAAAUUUGAAAUCUGGCUCUUUUAGAGUCCGAAUUGUAAUUUGUAGAAGAUGCUUCGGGUGUGGUUCCGGUCUAAGUUCCUUGGAACAGGACGUCAUAGAGGGUGAGAAUCCCGUAUGUGACUGGAUACCUAUGCUCAUGUGAAGCUCUUUCGACGAGUCGAGUUGUUUGGGAAUGCAGCUCAAAAUGGGAGGUAUAUUUCUUCUAAAGCUAAAUAUUGGCCAGAGACCGAUAGCGCACAAGUAGAGUGAUCGAAAGAUGAAAAGCACUUUGGAAAGAGAGUUAAACAGUACGUGAAAUUGUUGAAAGGGAAGCGCUUGCAAUCAGACUUGCACUUGGUGUUCAUCAGGGUCUCGUACCCUGUGUACUUCAUCAAGUUCAGGCCAGCAUCAGUUUGAGUGGUUAGAUAAAGGCUUAGAGAAUGUGGCCCUCUUCGGGGGGUGUUAUAGCUCUAGGUGCAAUGUAGCCUACUUGGACUGAGGACCGCGCUUCGGCUAGGAUGCUGGCGUAAUGGUUGUAAGCGACCCGUCUUGAAACACGGACCAAGGAGUGUACCUAAUAUGCGAGUGUUUGGGUGUUAAACCCAUACGCGUAAUGAAAGUGAACGCUGGUGAGAACCCUUAAGGGUGCAUCAUCGACCGAUCUUGAUGUCUUCGGAUGGAUUUGAGUAAGAGCAUAUUGGGUGCGACCCGAAAGAUGGUGAUCUAUACGUGAAUAGGGUGAAGCCAGAGGAAACUCUGGUGGAGGCUCGCAGCGGUUCUGACGUGCAAAUCGAUCGUCAAAUUUGCGUAUAGGGGCGAAAGACUAAUCGAACCAUCUAGUAGCUGGU
rnacentral:rRNA from 1 species